CCUUCAGGUGGGGAAUAACCCAGUGAAAACUGGGCUAAUACCGCAUAACAUGACGAUGGCACAUGCUGUUGUCUUCAAAGGCGCAAGUCGCCAAAGAGGGAUCCGGGCCGAUUACUUGUUGGGAGUAAAUGGUCACCAAGGCUUGAUCGGUACCGGACUGAAGGUUGGCGGCCACACUGGAACUGAAACACGGUCCAGACUCCUACGGGAGGCAGCAGUGGGGAAUCUUGCACCAAUGGACGAAAGUCUGAUGCAGCAACGCCGCGUGGGGGAUGAAGCUUUUCGGAGUGUAAACCCCUUUCGACCCGGAAGAAUGCCCGCAAGGGUUUGACGGUACGGGUAUAAGAAGCCCCGGCUAACUACGUGCCAGCAAGCCGCGGAAAUACGUAGGGGGCCAGCGUUGCUCGGAA
rnacentral:rRNA from 1 species